rnacentral:rRNA from 1 species
UGGCGGACGGGUGAGUAAUGUCUGGGAAACUGCCCGAUGGAGGGGGAUAACUACUGGAAACGGUAGCUAAUACCGCAUAACGUCGCAAGACCAAAGAGGGGGACCUUCGGGCCUCUUGCCAUCGGAUGUGCCCAGAUGGGAUUAGCUAGUAGGUGGGGUAACGGCUUACCUAGGCGACGAUCCCUAGCUGGUCUGAGAGGAUGACCAGCCACACUGGAACUGAGACACGGCCCAG